rnacentral:lncRNA from 1 species
GUCAUGUGUGUUAAAUGAUUGAGGGGAAAAAAACAGAAAAACUGGAUCAUUGAAGAAAUUAUUCACUCAGACUUCACUCAAGACUGAGCAGAGAUAAUACACAGAAGGAAAAGUGAAAAACAUCAAAGCCUCUUCUAACUCAAAAACAAUUAUGGAGAGCACAAUUUGCUUUUCUAGUUGAAGUAAAGCACCCUCCUUGGGAGAUCUUCACUCUUCACAUCUUCAUUUGAUUACAGCCUGCUUCAUCUUUCACCAUGAGUAAAAGCUGCUUGAAG